CGUGUAGGCGGGUCUUUAAGUCAGGGGUGAAAUGCCAAGGCUCAACCUUGGAACUGCCUUUGAUACUGGAGAUCUUGAGUCCGGGAGAGGUGAGUGGAACUGCGAGUGUAGAGGUGAAAUUCGUAGAUAUUCGCAAGAACACCAGUGGCGAAGGCGGCUCACUGGCCCGGAACUGACGCUGAGACGCGAAAGCGUGGGGAGCAAACAGGAUUAGAUACCCUGGUAGUCCACGCUGUAAACGAUGGAUGCUAGCCGUUGGGGAGCUUGCUCUUCAGCGGCGCCGCUAACGCAUUAAGCAUCCCGCCUGGGGAGUACGGUCGCAAGAUUAAA
rnacentral:rRNA from 1 species